rnacentral:rRNA from 1 species
UACGUAGGGUGCAAGCGUUAAUCGGAAUUACUGGGCGUAAAGCGUGCGCAGGCGGUUAUGUAAGACAGGUGUGAAAUCCCCGGGCUUAACCUGGGAACUGCAUUUGUGACUGCAUAGCUAGAGUACGGCAGAGGGGGAUGGAAUUCCGCGUGUAGCAGUGAAUGCGUAGAUAUGCGGAGGAACACCGAUGGCGAAGGCAAUCCCCUGGGCCUGUACUGACGCUCAUGCACGAAAGCGUGGGGAGCAAACAGG